rnacentral:tRNA from 1 species
UCCCUGGUGGUCUAGCAGUUAGGACUUGGUGCUUUCAUUGCUUUGGCCCAGGUUCAAUCCAUGGUCUGGGAA